rnacentral:rRNA from 1 species
AACGAACGCUGGCGGCAGGCUUAACACAUGCAAGUCGAACGGGCACCUUCGGGUGUCAGUGGCAGACGGGUGAGUAACGCGUGGGAACGUACCCUUCGGUUCGGAAUAACCCAGGGAAACUUGGGCUAACACCGGAUACGUCCGCAAGGAGAAAGAUUUAUCGCCGAAGGAUCGGCCCGCGUCGGAUUAGCUAGUUGGUGGGGUAAUGG